CCGCAUUUUACCAGCUUCUUUACAAGAAUAUCAUGGGGCACCUUAUCAAAUGCCUUGCUGAAAUCAAGGUAGGCUACAUCCACUGCAUUCCCUUCAUCUACCAGGCUUGUAAUUCUGUCAAAAAACAAGAUCAGGUUAGUCUGACAUGACUUAUUUUUCAGAAAUCCAUGCUGACUAUUGGUGAUCACAGCAUUCCUUUCUAGGUGCUCACAGACUGUUUGCUUAAUGAUCUGCUCCAGAAUCUUUCCUGGUAUUGAUGUCAGACUGACUGGGCGGUAAUUAUUUGCGUCCUCUCUUUUCCCCUUUUUGAAAAUAGGGACAACAUUUGCCCUCCUCCAGUCUGCCGGGACUUCGCCUGUUCUCCAGGAAUUCUCAAAGAUGACUGCCAGUGGUUCUGAGAUCACAUCUGCCAGUUCUUUUAAUACUCUUGGAUGCAGUUCAUCUGGCCCUGGAGACUUGAAUACAUCUAAACUAGCCAAGUAUUCUUGUACUAUCUCCUUAGUUAUUCUGGGCUGUGUUUCCUUUGCUGAAUCAUUUGCUCCAAAUUCUUCAGGUCGGG